rnacentral:rRNA from 1 species
UCAGUGGCAGACGAGUGAGUAACAUGUAGGUAACCUGCCCUCGAGACGGGGAUAACGGCUGGAAACGGUCGCUAAGACCCGAUAUAGUCUGACCUUCGGGAGAAGGUGAGAGGAAAGGCUUCGGUGCUCGGGGAGGGGCCUGCGGCCCAUCAGCUAGUUGGAGAGGUAACGGCUCCCCAAGGCAAUGACGGGUAGGGGGUGUGAGAGCAUGGCCCCCCACACUGGGACUGAGACACGGCCCAGACUCCUACGGGAGGCAGCAGCAGGGAAUAUUGCGCAAUGGACGGAAGUCUGACGCAGCGACGCCGCGUGGAUGAUGAAGGCCUUCGGGUUGUAAAAUCCUUUUCCGGGCGAUGAGACAGGACACUAGCCUGGGAAUAAGCGUCGGCUAACUACGUGCCAGCAGCCGCAGUAAGACGUAGGACGCCGAGCGUUAUCCGGAUUUACUGGGCGUAAAGCGCCUGCAGACGGUCAAGGUAAAUCGGUUGUGAAAAGCCCCGUGCUCAACGCCGGGGAGGCCAAGCGAUACUGCGUGACUUGAGGGCGGAAGAGGGGAGUGGAAUUCCCGGUGUAGCGGUAAAAUUGCGCAGAUAUCGGGAGGAACACCAGUGGCCGAAGGCGGCUCCCUGGACCGCACCUGACGCUCAGAGGCGAAAGCUAGGGGAGCGAACAGGAUUAGAGACCCUGGUAGUCCUAGCCCUAAACGCUGGAUGCUAGGUGUAGGGCUGAUGAGGCUCUGUGCCGGAGCGAACGCGAUAAGCAUCCCGCCUGGGAACUACGGCCGCAAGGCUAAAACUCAAACGAAUUGACGGGGACCCGCACAAGCAGCGGAGCGUGUGGUUUAAUUCGAUGCUACACGAAGAACCUUACCUGGGUUUGACAUGCUGGUGGUACCGAACCGAAAGGGGAGGGACCCUUCGGGGAGCCAACACAGGUGCUGCAUGGCUGUCGUCAGCUCGUGCCGUGAGGUGUCGGGUUAAGUCCCGUAACGAGCGCAACCCUUGCUUUUAGUUAUAAGUGUCUAAGGGGACUGCCGGCGACAAGCCGGAGGAAGGUGGGGAUGACGUCAAGUCAGCAUGGCCUUGAUAUCCAG